rnacentral:rRNA from 1 species
UACGGGGGGAGCAAACGUUGUUCGGAAUCACUGGGCGUAAAGGGCGUGUAGGCGGCUGGAUAAGUGGGAUGUUAAAUCCCCCGGCUCAACCGGGGACCUGCAUCUCAUACUGUUCAGCUCGAGCACAUCAGAGGAGACUGGAAUUCCCGGUGUAGCGGUGAAAUGCGUAGAUAUCGGGAGGACACCAGUGGCGAAGGCGAGUCUCUGGGAUGAUGCUGACGCUGAGGCGCGAAGGUCAGGGGAGCAAACGGG